rnacentral:misc_RNA from 1 species
GAAAUGCGAUAAGUCAUGUGAAUUGCAGAAUUCAGUGACUCAUCGAAUCUUUGAACGCACCUUGCGCUCCUUGGUAUUCCUUGGAGCAUGCCUGUUUGAGUAUCAUGAAAUCUUCAAAGUAAAUCUUUUGUUAACUCAAUUGGUUUCUACUUUGGUAUUGGAGGUCUUUGCAGCUUCACACCUGCUCCUCUUUGUUCAUUAGCUGGAUCUCAGUGUUAUGCUUGGUUCCACUCGGCGUGAUAAGUUAUCUAUCGCUGAGGACACUGUAAAAGGUGGCCAAGGUAAAUGCAGAUGAACCGCUUCUAAUAGUCCAUUGACUUGGACAAUACUUUUAUGAUCUGAUCUCAAAUCAGGUAGGACUACCCGCUGAACUUAAGC